rnacentral:lncRNA from 1 species
UCACCCAGGCUGGAGUNNNNNNNNNNNNNNNNNNNNNNNNUGUUCAGGCUGGUCUUGAACUUCUGACCUGAGGUGAUCCGCCCGCCUCGGCCUCCCAAAAUGCUGAGAUUACAAGCAUGAGCCAGCGGACCCAGCCAAGACCGCAUCUUAAAAAAAAAAAAAAAAAAAAAAAAAAAAAGGCUGGGUACGGUGGCUCACACCUGCAAUCCCAGCACUUUGGGAGGCUGAGGCAGGGGGAUCACUUGAGGUCAGGAGUUUGAGACCAGCCUGGACCACAUGGUGAAACCCUGUCUCUACUAAAAUACAAACAAAGGCUGGGCGUGGUGGCUCACGCCUGUAAUCCCAGCACUUUGGGAGGCCAAGGCGGGCAGAUCACGAGGUCAGGAGUUCGAGACCAGCCUGACCAACAUGGUGAAACCCAGUCUCUACUAAAAAUACAAAAAUUAGCCAUGGUGGCGCACGCCUGUAAUCUCAGCUACUCAGGAGGCUGAGGCAGGAGAAUCGCUUGAACCCGGGAGGUGGAGGUUGCAGUGAGCCGAGAUCACGCCACUUCACUCCAGCCUGGGCGACAGAGUGAGACUCCAUCUCAAAUAAAUAAAUAAAUAAAAAUAAAAAAUACAAAAAAAAAUUAGUCUGGCAUUGUGGUGCACACAUGUAGUCCCAGCUACUCAGGGGGCUGAAGUAGGAGAAUCGCAUGAACAGGGGAUGCAGAGGUUGCAGUGAGCCAAAGUUGCACCACUGCACUCCAGCCUGGGCAACANNNNNNNNNNNNNNNNNNNNNAAAAAAAAAAAAAAGAACUUGCACUCAAGGAAGACAGGAGCCAUGGCAGGGUUUGACCUAGGCGCUCAAAGGGUCCGCCGUCUUGCUCAUGGUUGGGAGUGGACAGAAGUGUCAGGGUGAGGGUGAGCACAGACAGACCAGCUGUCCAGGCAAGAAAUGGCAGCAGCCAUGGGUGGCUCUCCCUCUGCUGUCUCCAUUUCUUCCCAUCUACUAUGGUCCUGCUUGUGAAUUCUCUCCUGCUUCCUCUUUCUCCUGCCUCUCAGUUUCUGCUCUUUCUCCCAGGUUUCACUUCCCCACACCCAGUGAUUGUCCUGGGAGGAAGGACAGUAUGAGUGCUGCGGUUCCUUUGCCUGUGGGCAUGAGAGCUGUUGGCAGCACUGGGUCUGGGUGCCAGGGACCUGGGGCCCUCCCAGCUCAGCGUAGGGGUAGAAAUGUGGUUACUCCUCUGGCCUCAGGUCCCAAAGCACACAGGGCUGAGGGAGGACUGGGGAGGCAGGAGUUCACUAUGCAAGGACAUGCCAACAAAUGGAUAGGUAUAGAGAUGCUGAGGCCUGGCCCCAAGAGGCAGAGUCACAAGCUAGGACACAGUGACUCGGCUGUAAUCGCUGCAGCCCUGUGAGGAUGUGG